AGCUGGAAACGGCUGGUAAUACCGCAUAAGCGCACAGUACCACAUGGUACAGUGUGAAAAACUCCGGUGGUAUGAGAUGGACCCGCGUCUGAUUAGCUUGUUGGCGGGGUAACGGCCCACCAAGGCGACGAUCAGUAGCCGACCUGAGAGGGUGACCGGCCACAUUGGGACUGAGACACGGCCCAGACUCCUACGGGAGGCAGCAGUGGGGAAUAUUGCACAAUGGAGGAAACUCUGAUGCAGCGACGCCGCGUGAGUGAAGAAGUAGUUCGCUAUGUAAAGCUCUAUCAGCAGGGAAGACAGUGACGGUACCUGACUAAGAAGCUCCGGCUAAAUACGUGCCAGCAGCCGCGGUAAUACGUAUGGAGCAAGCGUUAUCCGGAUUUACUGGGUGUAAAGGGAGUGUAGGUGGCCAGGCAAGUCAGAAGUGAAAGCCCGGGGCUCAACCCCGGGACUGCUUUUGAAACUGCAGGGCUAGAGUGCAGGAGGGGUCAAGUGGAAUUCCUAGUGUAGCGGUGAAAUGCGUAGAUAUUAGGAGGAACACCAGUGGC
rnacentral:rRNA from 1 species